UACAGAGGUCCCGAGCGUUGUUCGGAUUCACUGGGCGUAAAGGGUGCGUAGGUGGUGAGGUAAGUCGGAUGUGAAAUCUCCAAGCUCAACUUGGAAAUGGCAUUGGAAACUACCUUGCUGGAGGUUUGGAGGGGGGACUGGAAUUCUCGGUGUAGCAGUGAAAUGCGUAGAUAUCGAGAGGAACACCAGAGGCGAAGGCGGCUACCUGGACAAUUGCUGACGCUCAGGCACGAAAGCGUGGGGAGCAAAAGGG
rnacentral:rRNA from 1 species